rnacentral:rRNA from 1 species
GACGAACGCUGGCGGCGUGCUUAACACAUGCAAGUCGAACGGAAAGGCCCUGCUUUUGUGGGGUGCUCGAGUGGCGAACGGGUGAGUAACACGUGAGUAACCUGCCCUUGACUUUGGGAUAACUUCAGGAAACUGGGGCUAAUACCGGAUAGGAGCUCCUGCUGCAUGGUGGGGGUUGGAAAGUUUCGGCGGUGGGGGAUGGAGCCGCGGCUUAUCAGCUUGUUGGUGGGGUAGUGGCUUACCAAGGCUUUGACGGGUAGCCGGCCUGAGAGGGUGACCGGCCACAUUGGGACUGAGAUACGGCCCAGACUCCUACGGGAGGCAGCAGUGGGGAAUAUUGCACAAUGGGCGGAAGCCUGAUGCAGCAACGCCGCGUGCGGGAUGACGGCCUUCGGGUUGUAAACCGCUUUCGCCUGUGACGAAGCGUGAGUGACGGUAAUGGGUAAAGAAGCACCGGCUAACUACGUG